UACGUAGGGUGCGAGCGUUGUCCGGAAUUACUGGGCGUAAAGGGCGCGUAGGCGGCCCGCUAAGUCGAACGUGAAAUCCCCAGGCUCAACCUGGGAACUGCGUCCGAUACUGGCAGGCUUGAAUCCGGGAGAGGGAUGUGGAAUUCCAGGUGUAGCGGUGAAAUGCGUAGAUAUCUGGAGGAACACCGGUGGCGAAGGCGGCAUCCUGGACCGGUAUUGACGCUGAGGCGCGAAAGCGUGGGGAGCAAACAGG
rnacentral:rRNA from 1 species